rnacentral:lncRNA from 1 species
GAAAACAGAGAACCAGGCACCUGUGUGGCUCCUAAGGAUGGGCUGAAGCUGGGGUCUGGGCCUUAUGACUGAGAAGACUGUUAAAGCUAAAACCACCUUUAUUCCUGCCUCGAUGACACCUAUCCAAAAGUAGAAAAAUGCUCCCCUUUUAAUCCUAUAGACUUUUUAAUCCUAUAGACUUUGAGAAUUUUGACCUGUCUGAGGAGCAUCAGAUUGCAUACCUCCCCUCGAAUGGCGUGCCUCUCAUGGUUCUGGAUGGGAGAGAGAACUGGAAAAGCUGUUACAGCUGGGGUCCCCCCUCCACCAUAGGAAUCCAAUUUGAUGCAGUCUCCUUUGAUCAUUCUGUCGAUCC